AUAUAAUCCAUAUUCCGUGUUGAACUUUGAACGGAAAAAUAUGGUGCCACUCCAUCGGAUGACUGUAACGAGACCACGCCAUAUCGAUUGCAUCUGAUACAAAACAGUUUAAAUAGGUGUGCAGCAUUUCAGAUCGAGCAUAACACGUUUUUUGUGCAAAUCUAUACUUUGUAUUUCCUUCGCAAGUUCUCCAAGAACCAACUCAAAAACCAAAAAUGGGCGCAGAAAAGGUAUCAAUGAACAUCGUUGUCGUCGGACAGGUGCAAUCCGCCAAAGCUAUCAAGACUGUCGCCAAGACCAGCUC